rnacentral:rRNA from 1 species
UACGUAGGGUGCGAGCGUUGUCCGGAAUUAUUGGGCGUAAAGAGCUCGUAGGCGGUUUGUCGCGUCGACUGUGAAAACUGGGGGCUUAACUCUCAGCUUGCAGUUGAUACGGGCAGGCUGGAGUUCGGUAGGGGAGACUGGAAUUCCUGGUGUAGCGGUGAAAUGCGCAGAUAUCAGGAGGAACACCGGUGGCGAAGGCGGGUCUCUGGGCAAUAACUGACGCUGAGGAGCGAAAGCGUGGGGAGCGAACAGG